AAGAACUACAUUUUUGCCAUACUAUUCAUGCAUGCUUGGAGCAUAAGAAGUCUAGCUCUUGCCAAGAUUGAGCUAGGGUUGCAAUUGACCUGAGUUGAACCAAACAUUUGGCAGUUUGAGCUUAGCAUGAAACAGUUGGGUUGAGCCAUACUAUCUUUUAUUUCCUUUCAAUUUGAACCCUUUCCGAGUUAUUUUCAAGUGUAUCCACUGAAGAUUCGGAGAAAUGAGGUCUUGAUAGAUACAGAUCACUGCUAUUGUGUAAUUCUAAAUGCAGAUGGUGGGGCAGCAUUUCCUAGUGAAAAGACUGCACAAGAUUGCAGUUCUAGUGCUAUUUCUUCUUUGAAAAUCAACA